rnacentral:tRNA from 1 species
GGCCCCAUCGUCUAGUCAGGUCCAGGACGUCAGGUUCUCAUCCUGAAAACCGGGGUUCGAAUCCCCGUGGGGUCA